GGAGUGGGCGAGGCGGUUGCUCCCGCUUCUCCAAAGGAGGAGUAGGGGAGGAAAGUCCGGACUCCGCAGGGCAGGAUGGCCGCUAACGGCGGCUCUGGGCGACCGGGGGAAAGUGCCACAGAAAACAUACCGCCCGCGAGGGUAAGGGUGAAAAGGCGAGGUAAGAGCUCACCGCUCCGAUGGUGACAUCGGAGGCAGGGCAAACCCCAUCCGGAGCAAGGCCAAACGAGCCCCACAUGGGAUGGCCCGUCCCGGGGCGGGUCGGCCGCUCGUCCCCGCGAGCAAUCGCGGGGCCAGACAAAUAACCGCCCCCGCCGCUUCGGCGCGCGGGAACAGAAUCCGGCUUAUGUCCCGCUCCAGCC
rnacentral:RNase_P_RNA from 1 species